GACGAACGCUGGCGGCGUGCUUAACACAUGCAAGUCGAACGGAAAGGCCCUGCUUUUGUGGGGUGCUCGAGGGGCGAACGGGUGAGUAACACGUGAGUAACCUGCCCUUGACUUUGGGAUAACUUCAGGAAACUGGGGCUAAUACCGGAUAGGAGCUCCUGCUGCAUGGUGGGGGUUGGAAAGUUUCGGCGGUUGGGGAUGGACUCGCGGCUUAUCAGCUUGUUGGUGGGGGAGUGGCUGACCAAGGCUUUGACGGGUAGCCGGCCUGAGAGGGUGACCGGCCACCUUGGGCCUGAGGUACGGCCCAGACUCCUACGUGAGGCAGCAGUGGGGAAUAUUGCACAAUGGGCGGACGCCUGAUGCAGCAACGCCGCGUGCGGGAUGCCGGCCUUCGGGUUGUAAACCGCUUUCGCCUGUGACGAAGCGUGAGUGACGGUAAUGGGUAAAGAAGCACCGGCUAACUACGUG
rnacentral:rRNA from 1 species